rnacentral:rRNA from 11 species
AAAUUAGAGUGUUCAAAGCAGGCCUACGCCCGAAUACAUUAGCAUGGAAUAAUAGAAUAGGACGCGCGUUCCCAUUUUGUUGGUUUCUGAGAUCGCCGUAAUGAUUAAUAGGGAUAGUUGGGGGCAUUUGUAUUCCGUCGUCAGAGGUGAAAUUCUUGGAUUGCCGGAAGACAAACUAUUGCGAAAGCAUUUGCCAAGGAUGUUUUCAUUGAUCAAGAACGAAGGAAGGGGGAUCGAAAACGAUCAGAUACCGUUGUAGUCUCUUCUGUAAACUAUGCCAAUUGGGGAUUAGCUCAGGAUUUUUAAUGACUGAGUUAGCACCCGAAGAGAAAUCUUUAAAUGAGGUUCGGGGGGGAGUAUGGUCGCAAGGCUGGAACUUAAAGAAAUUGACGGAAG